GAUGAACGCUGGCGGCGUGCCUAAUACAUGCAAGUCGAGCGAACGGACGAGAAGCUUGCUUUUCUGAUGUUAGCGGCGGACGGGUGAGUAACACGUGGAUAACCUACCUAUAAGACUGGGAUAACUUCGGGAAACCGGAGCUAAUACCGGAUAAUAUUUUGAACCGCAUGGUUCAAAAGUGAAAGACGGUCUUGCUGUCACUUAUAGAUGGAUCCGCGCUGCAUUAGCUAGUUGGUAAGGUAACGGCUUACCAAGGCAACGAUGCAUAGCCGACCUGAGAGGGUGAUCGGCCACACUGGAACUGAGACACGGUCCGGACUCCUACGGGAGGCAGCAGUAGGGAAUCUUCCGCAAUGGGCGAAAGCCUGACGGAGCAACGCCGCGUGAGUGAUGAAGGCCUUCGGAUCGUAAAACUCUGUUAUUAGGGAAGAACAUAUGUGUAAGUAACUGUGCACAUCUUGACGGUACCUAAUCAGAAAGCCACGGCUAACUACGUG
rnacentral:rRNA from 1 species